rnacentral:lncRNA from 1 species
AGGAGAAUAUAAUUGGUGGAAUAUUGGAUAUAUUGCAUUGAGCCUCAUGGGCUGAUUAUAUAUGGUACAUAGGACUAACACCUCAUGUGGAUAUUGUCGACGAAAGCUGGUCGGCAGUCUACCUUGGGGUAUACCCACGGUAGUAGUUUAUCGGUAGACGGUGCGCAAACUACGAACUCGAUGGUGACGCAAGACUCGGACAAGCUUUUUAUCCAGGUUCGGCCGCCGAGUUGGCGUAAUACCUACGUCCUGCGUCUGGUUGUAUUGAUUUGUGUUGAGAGAAUAUGAUAUGAUGUGUCCUCUAGGGGACCCCUGCCCCUCCUUAUAUAUCCUGAAGGGACAGAGUUACAAGCAAAUUAUCCUAUUUGGUACAAUAUCUUGUAGUCUUGCGGUGCACGCCGACCAGUCGCGCGCCGCACGUCUUCAUCCUGUGGGCCGAGCCACCUCUGAUGGUGCGGCCCAUAUAGGCCCAUGAGGGUAUAGGGGUUUAUACCCCCACAGCUAGUCCCCGAGCACCAUGUAUUGUGAUGUAACACGCCGUCUUGAGCUUUUUCGAUCAGUGAGGCUUGACGUCUUCAAUAAGUAGGAAAGUCGCCCAAACAGUUGCAACGGUAUUUUGACCAACUCAAAAGACAGUUGAUCAACAUUGACAUCGAAGAAGCAGGUUGUUCGAAGAAUGCAUGGUGCUCUUAAUCAAAAAAGAUUUCUUUCCUGGUGAAGUGUGCCCACUUUACUUUUCUGAAAAGUAUAGCCUUUCAAAAAGCAAGCACAUUCACCGCAAGGUGAAGUGUGCCCACUUAGUCCCCGAGUCUGGUAGUAGGUGACGUAGGCACGUGGUGCCAGGGUCAAAAGAAAAGUCCUCAAAGAAAUUCUGAAACUGAGAUGCAUCGCCAGAUGCAUCGUACCGAUGUAGUCCCCGAGCUUGCUGGAAGGCGAAGUAUGAGCCUUGUAGCAAGGUCUAAAAAAUUGAAUUUAUCAGUCCGUCUGCAAUUGAAUAGACUAAUCGACCAGUCCUCGAGCAUAUAACGCUUGGUGGUCGGUACAGUCCCCGAAUUCUCAAAUUGGUGGGCUGGUCGACCAGUCCCCGAGCGUAUAGUGCUCGGUGAUCGGCACAGUCCCAAAAACUCUCAAAUUGGUGAGCUGGUCGAACAGUCCCCAAGCGUAUAGUGCUCGGUGGUCGGCACAGUCCCCGAGCACGGCGUAGGGACCGGUCGACAAGUCCUCGAGCGUGGUUGGGAACGUAAACGUGCUCGGUGGUCGGCACAGUCCCCGAGCACAGCGUAGGGACCGGUCGACAAGUCUCCGAGCGUGGUUGGGAACGUAAAAGUGCUCGGUGGUCGGCACAGUCUUCGAGCACAGCAUAGAGAGUAGUCGACAAGUCUCCGAGCGUGGUUGGGAACGUAAACGUGCUCGGUGGUCGGAGCAGUCCCCGGGCACAGCGUAGGGAAUAGUCGACGAGUCUCCGAGCGUAGCUUGUCGACUGGGCCAAACUCCUAAAAAAUAAAUAUAAAGAAUUGGUAGUACAUGAUGUAUAAAUAAACUUUAGAUAAAAAAUCAGUACUGAGAUAAGUUUUAGAUUUUUUGUUAUAAAAUUAGCACGAGUAGUUAAUUCAUCCUAGAGCUUGUACCAGCUCUGGUCUAGCCAACAAUCAGCAUGAGGUGCGGAACCUAGACAUGCGUGGAAUUGCCAGCCUCGCCAGAGAGCUACUGCCGACCACCCGGAACGCAGAGGGCGGAUCUCAUGCACGUGUAGGGAGGAGUCGGAGACAGUACCGGCUCUGGAAAACUCGUGUAGGAGAAAAAACUAGUCGGCUAACCAAAAAGUUAUUUUGAAGGAUAAUAAAAAAUAUUAUGCCAAAAAUAAAUAAAAUAUUAGAAGUGUACUUAUCUUUGGACGAAAGUCUGGUCGGUGACGACAAAAUUGUCUGGCCCUCGAGCUUUUGGACUUGUUGUCGUGACGGUGGUCGCGGUUGUCGUAGCGCCGUUCUUCGCGGCGAUUAUUAUUGCGACUCGUGGUCAGAGCAAGUAGGCCAAACAACUUGGUUGAUAGCCUGAGCAGGUCGGUGUCGUCGAUCUGCCUCCCUUUGUAGCAGAGAAGCAGCGACGCGUUGUCGGCGUGGUCGGAAACGUUGCUGGUGUGGUCGAAGUCGUAGCCAGCGUGGUUGGAGCUGCAGCCGACGUCGGUGAAGAAGUGAUCGGCACAGAUUGGAUCUACGCCUCCUUCGCGGUCGCGGUGGUGAAGCUGUUGAAGCUGACGGUGAACGUGAAGCCGCCCGCCAUGGCCACGAAGUUUGGGAUGAUGGCCAUCUUGUUCGUCUAGGAGAGCUGUACGCACACCCCCUACCUGGCGCGCCACUGUCGACGAAAGCUGGUCGGCAGUCUACCUUGGGGUAUACCCACGGUAGUAGUUUAUCGGUAGACGGUGCGCAAACUACGAACUCGAUGGUGACGCAAGACUCGGACAAGCUUUUUAUCCAGGUUCGGCCGCCGAGUUGGCGUAAUACCUACGUCCUGCGUCUGGUUGUAUUGAUUUGUGUUGAGAGAAUAUGAUAUGAUGUGUCCUCUAGGGGACCCCUGCCCCUCCUUAUAUAUCCUGAAGGGA